rnacentral:rRNA from 1 species
CCUACGGGUGGCUGCAGUAGGGAAUAUUGGUCAAUGGAUGGAAGUCUGAACCAGCCAUGCCGCGUGCAGGACGAAGGCCCUUCGGGUUGUAAACUGCUUUUAUUGAGGAAGAAGAGGUUCCUUGCGAGGGAUUGUGACGGUACUUAAUGAAUAAGCACCGGCUAACUACGUGCCAGCAGCCGCGGUAAUACGUAGGGUGCAAGCGUUGUCCGGAUUUAUUGGGUUUAAAGGGUGCGUAGGUGGUCGAUUAAGUCAGUGGUGAAAGCAGGUUGCUC